CUGCCUCAGUCUCCCAAAGUGCUAGGAUUACAGAAGCAAGCCCCCGAGUCCCAAGUUGGUGCCAGCUGCAUCUGCUGCUCCCUUUUGACAAGCAAACAAGCCAGAGCUGCUCAGGCAGCUCAGUAGCAUGAGGAAGAGUCAGGGGCACAGAGAGAUGGAUGGAGACCUAAAAUUAGCUUGCUGGUUUUAUGC